rnacentral:rRNA from 1 species
CCUACGGGAGGCAGCAGUGAGGAAUUUUCCGCAAUGGGCGAAAGCCUGACGGAGCGACGCCGCGUGGGUGAAGAAGUCCUUCGGGAUGUAAAGCCCUUUCGAUCGGAACGAAAAAAAUGACGGUACCGAGAGAAGAAGCAUCGGCUAACUACGUGCCAGCAGCCGCGGUAAGACGUAGGAUGCAAGCGUUGUUCGGAAUUACUGGGCGUAAAGAGUACGUAGGUGGUCCUUUAAGUUUGAUGUUAAAGCCUGGAGCUCAACUCCAGAGAUGCAUCAAAAACUGAAGGACUUUGAGGACGGCAGAGGAAGAUGGAAUUCCCAGUGUAGCGGUGAAAUGCGUAGAUAUUGGGAGGAACAC